rnacentral:lncRNA from 1 species
UUUCAAAAAUAAAAACAAAAUCAAGGAAAAACAAAUAUAAAAAAACAAAAUUGAAGAUCCAAAUAUAAAAAUGAAAUUAUUAAGUAAGAAAUUUUUAAAUAAUAUUUGAAAAAUUAAAAGAAAAAAAAUGAAUUUAAAUUAUAUUUACUCUUGGUGUGCACAAGAUAAAAAUUCUGAAUUAAGAAAUUAAGAAUAGAGACUUGAAUUCAUGAUUUAGAAUUUGAUAUAAAAAAUAAAAAUUUUGGUUCCGC